rnacentral:lncRNA from 1 species
CGAGGGCAUUUUUCAUAACAUUUGUUAAAUUUUGCUGUUUCAUAAUUCUUGUACUGUUAAAUAUUUGAUGAAUAGCCUAUGAUAUGCCAUUUAAUAUCAAACUCCAUUGUAACAACCCAGCAUAGUGUGGCAACACCUCCGUUAUUAGGACAUGGUGUCACAACUGUCAACAUGUUCAAUGAACUUUGAACAUAAGUAUCAUUAUUCCUGAACAAUAACUGUAAAAGUUCAAAUAUGUUUUAACAGACUAUACAACAAUUAACCAACUCUAAGAAAUACUCACAGGAGUAAGAAGUGAAAAUUAGCUGUAACAAUUCACGAUUUAUGAAACUGAUCUACAACAACAGGAACUUGUCAAGUCUGAACACCACUCUGCAUCUGUUAGUAAUAUGAGCUCUCAGAAAUGACUAAUUGUUAAGAAAGCAGAUUUCAUCUUGGCUUAUGACAAAAUUAGAUGUCUGUUCACUGAGCUUUUUCAUCAGAGUCACAGAUUUUAUUAAUCUCAUUAAAACUUAAAUUUCUCACUCCCCAUCAUGUUCUUGUUUAUAAUUGCUUGCCACAUAGUCCUCUAGACAUUCCUCUGUUCAGCUCCCCUUUGACCUACAAGUGGGAGGGCAACUUCAUAUUUUGUGCACAAGUUACUUUGCAAUCAUUUAUAAUUUCACAUUUUCGGAUGCAGGAGAAAAUCAGAAAGAAAAAGUUUAGAAAGAAAUUAAACAAUUUUUACGUACGCGCGCACACAUUACACAGUCAUUUUUUAAAUCAGAUUAUCAGAACAACAAAAAAACAAGCAUUGGGUCUGUAUGACAAAGUUCCUCUUUACCUAGAUGUGUACGAACAGGAGAGAGAUGCCAAAUUAAACAAUGCCUUGGAGAAUUAUAAGAGCCAGAACAGUUAAAAACGAGACUGUGGUAGUAAGAGCAUCCAGUCUGGCAUGAAAAUGAGGUGCUGUGUUUUUCUGUUUCUGCUCCUGCAGGUUUUGGGAGUUUUAGGCUUUCCUCUGUUUGAUGAUGCUCUGCAGAUAGCACUCAAUCGGAUCAAUGCACGCAUUGCCACCAAUCACCUCUACAGAGUGUCCAAGGAGUCUGUAAAGAGGGUCAGUACACUCUUACAACGGUUUCAUUUCUGCAUCUGUCAAAACUGGUAUAGGGUGACUAGUGAGAAUCAAGCAGACAAAGUAUAA